rnacentral:rRNA from 2 species
ACGGAUCUCUUGGUUCUGGCAUCGAUGAAGAACGCAGCAAAAUGCGAUAAGUAAUGUGAAUUGCAGAAUUCAGUGAAUCAUCGAAUCUUUGAACGCACAUUGCGCCCGCUGGUAUUCCGGCGGGCAUGCCUGUUCGAGCGUCAUU